rnacentral:rRNA from 1 species
AUAUCAAUAAGCGGAGGAAAAGAAACCAACAGGGAUUGCCUCAGUAGCGGCGAGUGAAGCGGCAAAAGCUCAGAUUUGAAAUCCGGCGCGGCCCCCGCGCCCGAGUUGUAAUCUGGAGAGGAAGCCCCGGCGAGGCCGGCCGUCCAAGUUCCUUGGAACAGGACGUCUCAGAGGGUGAGAACCCCGUACCCGGCGGCCUGCCGAGCCGCGUGGGGCUCCUUCGACGAGUCGAGUUGUUUGGGAAUGCAGCUCAAACCGGGUGGUAAAUUCCAUCUAAAGCUAAAUACCGGCGGGAGACCGAUAGCGCACAAGUAGAGUGAUCGAAAGAUGAAAAGCACUUUGAAAAGAGAGUUAAAAAGUAC